CAGCCCAGAGGUGGUACUGGGGUUGACUAGGAGGCCUUCCUCUCUGAUACCCUGUAGACAGUUGGCUGGGAUGGUUUCUAGUCAGCCCAGAGGUGGUACUGGGGUUGACUAGGAGGCCUUCCUCUCUGAUACCCUGUAGACAGUUGGCUGGGAUGGUUUCUAGUCAGCCCAGAGGUGGUACUGGGGUUGACUAGGAGGCCUUCCUCUCUGAUACCCUGUAGACAGUUGGCUGGGAUGGUUUCUAGUCAGCCCAGAGGUGGUACUGGGGUUGACUAGGAGGCCUUCCUCUCUGAUACCCUGUAGACAGUUGGCUGGGAUGGUUUCUAGUCAGCCCAGAGGUGGUACUGGGGUUGACUAGGAGGCCUUCCUCUCUGAUACCCUGUAGACAGUUGGCUGGGAUGGUUUCUAGUCAGCCCAGAGGUGGUACUGGGGUUGACUAGGAGGCCUUCCUCUCUGAUACCCUGUAGACAGUUGGCUGGGAUGGUUUCUAGUCAGCCCAGAGGUGGUACUG